GAGUAGCUUAUCAACUAUUCUCCUAAGUAAGAAGAGACAUCCUUUAUGGGAUUCUAUAACUGUAAAAUUCUUUGGCUACAGAUUGUUGCAUCUGCCACUCCGUCAAAGGCGAAAAUACCUGAAGGAUUUAUUUGGUGACGGCAAGUGGGUUAUUUCGAGUUGAAAAUGACUGUAGAGUCUGAUGAUUCUUGUGCAGAUAACGA